UCCCAGUUGUUUUAAUUGGCUGAAUUUAUGGUAUUCUUGAUGCAACUGGGCAUUCAAGCUAAUAGUGAGAGAGUGUCCGCCAAUCAGAGGUGAUUACCGUCAUACUUUAGCUACAAACU